GCAAUAUUAAACAAAACAACUGCCGGUUUUCAAUCGAUCGAUAUAAAAUACGAUUUAUGAGUGAUCGUAAAACCAAGCAAUGAAACACAGACGGAGGCAGACAUCGAUCCCAAGUCAGUCGUGUAGAAAAAUUACACGAUACAAUGUUUUGAUAGACGCGCCAGUUUCUGCUACGGAUUUCAAAUUGUGCCCCAUUACUGGACAUUUCCAACGAAAAUUCCACGAGUUUCCAGACGCUAUACAACUUAAGCUGGCGACAUACGGACGGAAAAUAUUUGGACCAGUUCUUUAAAUGAGAUUUUGUUAAAGCCUUUUUAGAAUUUUAGCAUGAAAAAUCUUUAUGGCUGAUACCGGAGCACUAAGCAUCUGUGAUUAAUGCCGCGGGGAACGUUCGGAAAUAAAAUAAAUUGCGAAAUACGUAAGUUUUUAUUAAUAAGCUAAGGGAAGAGCUCAGUUCCUACUUCAAAUGUAAUGUUUUAUUGUUAUAAGUAUGAUGUACUGGUUGGUCUAAUGUGUUUAAAUAUGAUGAUAUAGCUAGUAAGUUGGUCAGUCUGUAUAAAUUACCAAAUGAAGGCGAUUAGAGUGUUGUAUUAUGCAAAUAUUAUAAUCUUAUAAAUAAAUCAUACUUGUGGCGCCAUCUAGUUUGUGGCAACUAAGGUUUGUAUUUGUUCUCUUGUAGUUCAUGGUCUGUGUGAAA